CCCCCCAGGAGUCCUGGGAUGAAGGUGAUUCGACUCUCUCAGUUCCUCCUGGCCCAUCUGCCUUCAAUGAGACUUUGAGGAGCAACUUGCACUCAUUAGAGGAGCAGCAAGUCAUCUCGGCUGUUGACAUAGACAGUGAGUACUCCAUUGUGAAGGCACUAAAGCUCCAGUUUGUGUCCCAGAUAGACCCCAUAGUCUUUGGGCAUUGCUCCCCUGGCCGGGCUGAGAGUUGUCAUCACUCUGGGCUGAGCCUGUACAUGAGUGUAGAUUUCAGUCACUCUGGAUUCCAGUCUGAAGCACCAGCAUGGGGUGGGACAGUGAGCUUUGCCCUGUCUCUAGUCUCAGGUCAUGCCCGUCACACCCUGGACCGACUGUCAGGACAUUGAAACUUAAGGCAGGUGUUGCACACUCACGCCAAGCUCUGCAGCACAUGCCCACAAGUUGUCUGUCAAUCUGAAUUAAAUGUCUCUUGCCAGCUACCAAGUUCCUCAUGAGUUUUGUUCCCCAAGCAUGUCUGUGAGGUUCUUCCCUGUGUGUACAAACUUGGUGAAACUGUUUGUACAACUUGGGAUGAAAGAAUAAUGGUCUACCAGAAUAGGGACAUUUCAUUAUUUGUCUGAGACAGGAACCAAGAAAUCUCUCUCAUGAUUGGCCUUCAGACCUCCUGAAGUCUGUCUCUCACAUUAUCCUGUUCUCAUUCUGAGGAGUUUGAGGUCCCUGUGCAGGGAUUAGACAGUGGACAGUUAUGGGUGUAGGAGAAUUGGCUUAUUUUGUCUGUCCCUGUCUGAAUUUAUUGCAGAGAUUAAAAAUGACGACGAAGAAGAAGACCAAGGCCCACCAUGCCCCAGGCUCAGCAUGGAGCUGGUGGAAGCAGAAGAGCCUGAAGUCUUCCGGUACUCACUGGAUGUAUUGUAUUCAACUUAUGCAGCUUAUCCUGAGUUUUGUUACACAUGCCAGGCUUACACAUAUGUUAUUUUUUUAUUUGUGGAAGAGCAUGUUCGCUUGACUUUGGACAUGGACAGUAGGUUUCUUACUACGACGGUGACAAGACUCCCCCUGGUCUCCCGGGUAGGGGUCAUAUUUCCACACUAAGACAACAUGUCAUAUGGGACUCUGCCGGUGCAGAGUAUGAACAACACCAUGUUCUGGCUGAAAUGCUUAGCCUGAGUUCCAUAGCCUGAGGUAAUCUCCAGACAACUUCAGAAUGUAGAGCAGUGAGCAGCAGAAGUGACCUUUCUCCUUCAGAAAGCCCAUGUCACCACAAAUCACACAACCAAAAGGAGAAGAGACAUUUUGGGUUGAAAAAGAGUAAAAAGAUAAUGUAGCUACAUUUCUUUAGUUCUUUUGAACCCAAAGUGUCUCCUCACCUUUUGUUG
rnacentral:lncRNA from 13 species